CCUACGAGUGGCAGCAGUAGGGAAUCUUCCACAAUGAGCGAAAGCCUGAUGGAGCAACACCGCGUGGGUGAAGAAGGUCUUCGGAUCGUAAAGCCCUGUUAUUAGGGAAGAACAUUCGCGAUAGUAACUGAUUGCCUCCUGACGGUAUCUUGCCAGACAGCGAUGGCUCACUACGUGCCAGCAGCCUCGGGAAUACGUCGGUCGCAAGCGUUAUCCGGAAUUAUUGGGCGGAAAGGGGUCGUAGGCGGUUUUGUAAGUCUGGUGUGAAAUCCCUGGGCUUAAUCCCCGUUGUGCAUUGGAUACUGGGAGACUGGAGUGCAGUAGAGGUAAGCGGAAUUCCAGGUGAAGCGGUGAAAUGCGUAGAUAUAUGGAAGAACACCAGAGGCGAAGGCGGCCUACUGGGUCGAAACUGACGCUGAGGGACGAAAGCGUGGGGAGCAAACAGGAUUAGAUACCCUAGUAGUC
rnacentral:rRNA from 1 species